AUUGAACGCUGGCGGCAUGCCUUACACAUGCAAGUCGAACGGCAGCACGGGUGCUUGCACCUGGUGGCGAGUGGCGAACGGGUGAGUAAUACAUCGGAACAUGUCCUGUAGUGGGGGAUAGCCCGGCGAAAGCCGGAUUAAUACCGCCUACGAUCUACGGAUGAAAGCGGGGGACCUUCGUGCCUCGCGCUAUAGGGUUGGCCGAUGGCUGAUUAGCUAGUUGGUGGGGUAAAGGCCUACCAAGGCGACGAUCAGUAGCUGGUCUGAGAGGACGACCAGCCACACUGGGACUGAGACACGGCCCAGACUCCUACGGGAGGCAGCAGUGGGGAAUUUUGGACAAUGGGCGAAAGCCUGAUCCAGCAAUGCCGCGUGUGUGAAGAAGGCCUUCGGGUUGUAAAGCACUUUUGUCCGGAAAGAAAUCCUUGGCUCUAAUACAGUCGGGGGAUGACGGUACCGGAAGAAUAAGCACCGGCUAACUACGUG
rnacentral:rRNA from 1 species